UGUAUGAAUAAAUAUGAAAUAAAAAAACUAUGACAAAUUUCAAUACAUUGUCUUCUUCCAUCUCCACAAGCCCCGUUACCCUUCCUUUCCCAUCUGGCUUCCCUUUCUCUUCCACCUUUUUCUUCCCCACAAAUUAUUUGUUUUUGUUGUAAUUGAAUUGUUUGUGUUCUGGAUUUUAGAGAUAGAGAUUCCACUUUCUAUGAUAUAUUAGGUUUUUUUUUUUUUGGGAAAAAUGAUAGAUUGAGUUGUAGAUUUUAAUUGAAAACAAAAAUGUAAUCACACAAUAUUUUUAGAAAGAAGGUUGUUUUUUUAAGAAGUUAAAAUAGUCUAUCUAAAUUGGCUCCGGUUAAAAUAGCCUAAGAUUUCAAGCAACAUCACUAGAUCAACCUAAAUGGGGUUUGGAAAGAAGCUUGUUGGUAUAUUAAAUGAACUAAACAAAGUCCAUACAUUACUUUGAUAUUUUCACCACCUCUCUUACACUAUAAACACUGCAACUAUUUAGGGGGCGUUUGUAUCAUAGAUAAAAAACACAUUCUUGGGAAUAAGGUUGGGAAAGAAGAAUACCUAUGUUUGGUUGUUUGGUAGAAAGGAACAAAAUUAAUAUGCUUAGGAAUAAUCAAUACCCAAGAAUCUACUUACCUUACAUUCUAGUCAUUUUUAUUCCCAUGAAAAAGGGAUGGGAAAAUUAUAUUCUCAGGAAAAGAGUGCCCACUUUCUUGAUUUUUUAUUAUUUUUUUCAUUUAAAGCUAAACAAAUUAUUCUCACAGCCAACCACGUUCUUUAUAAAAACUCAUAAGUAUGCCCAUUUUACUGUUGUGUACCCACGUUGUAAAAAUUAACAUAACAUUUACCAUUUUUUUAGUAAUAAGGCAUAAGGUCUAUCAAUGUAACCACCCACUUCUUUGAAAAGAAUCCUAGGAAUAAAAAUUGGCAACCAAACACUUUUCUUGAAAAAUUCCUAGGAAUAAAAUUCUCAUUAUAUUUUCAUGGGAAAGUUAACUCCAGGGAGUAAUUUUUGCAUCUGGAAAACACCUUUUCCUUCGCAUAUUACAUGGCUUCUAUUUGUGUAUCCAAUUGUGUCAACAACCAAAGUAUUUCCAUUCGGCCAACCUUCGCAAACAUAUACAAAUCACCAACAUCUGAAAUAGAAUUUGUGAAGACUAAACUCUAACGAUUAUCAUAAAGGAGUUGAAAUUGAUGGCCUCUUUGCAGGCAAAUGUAUUUGAGGAGCUAAAUAUUCUCAAGGAAAAAGUAAGUAUCACUGGGAAUAACAUAAAAUGUUUAAGCAGAGUGUGGUUUGUGCUAGCAAAUAGCAAAAGAUUAAAUUAUAGAAUCAAGGGUCUUUGUAAGAAAGAUUAUAGGGAGGGCUAAACAAUAUGUCACUCAUUCUGCUUUGUUUGUUUUUGCGGUGGAUUACAAGUAUCCGACAUGCGUCAAAAUCAAAACUUUAGUUUGUAGCCUCUAUUAAAUCAUGGUUGAUAUAGGCAUAUGAAUGUAGUUUGGUCCAUUUGGAAACCCCCUUCUUUCUAUAGCUUUGGCCAUCGUAUGCAUUCCGAUGAUAAUGCACUAUGUUGCUCGACAACCAAAACCCGUCUUUUGCGCUAACAACUGGGAGAUAUCUAAGUGAAACAUAGGUCGAACAAUGAAGGUCAUUAGGAGUUGCUAAAAGACUUUAUUGAUAUUGUGUUGCUUUUUCUUUAAUUGAAUUUGAUGUUUAGUUUGUAAGUGUCUAUAUUUCAAUUUACAAACUUUGUACACUAACUAGCAGAGCCGUCCCUGAGAAUUCGGAGGCUCAGCUCUGGGAAUGAAAAGAGGCCAGUGAUAAAAUCAAAACAUAUUUUUUUUAA
rnacentral:lncRNA from 1 species